GAUGAACGCUAGCGAUAGGCUUAACACAUGCAAGUCGAGGGGCAGCACAAGGUCUCUUGCUAUCUGGGUGGCGACCGGCGCACGGGUGCGUAACGCGUAUGCAACUUGCCCUAUACAGGAGGAUAACCCGUCGAAAGACGGACUAAUACUGCGUAUGCUCACAACUUGGCAUCAAGUGGUGAGGAAAGAAAUUCGGUAUAGGAUAGGCAUGCGUCCCAUUAGCUUGUUGGUGAGGUAACGGCUCACCAAGGCAACGAUGGGUAGGGGAACUGAGAGGUUUAUCCCCCACACGGGUACUGAGACACGGACCAGACUACUACGGGAGGCAGCAGUGAGGAAUAUUGAGCAAUGGGCGCGAGCCUGAACCAGCCAAGUCGCGUGAAGGAUGACUGUCUUAUGGAUUGUAAACUUCUUUUAGACGGGAAUAACAAGAGUCACGUGGGACUCCCUGCAUGUACCGUAUGAAUAAGCAUCGGCUAACUCCGUG
rnacentral:rRNA from 1 species